rnacentral:lncRNA from 1 species
AUACCACCUAAGUUUGACCCCAGUGAGAUCAAGGUCGUAUAUCUGAGGUGAACCAGUGGCAAAAUCAGAGCCACAUCUACCCCUGGCCUCUAAGAUCAGCCCCCUGGGUCUUUCCCCAUCAAGGUUGGUGAGGACAUUGCUAAGGCAACCAGUGGUUGGAAAUGUCUGAGGAUUACAGUGAAACUGAUAAGGCCCAAUUUGAGGUGGUACCUUAUACCUCUGCCCUCGUCAUCAAAGCACUCAAGAAACCAUCAACAGAUGGAAAUAGAAAAAUAAACUCAGUAGAAAUAUCACUUUUGAUGAGAUUGUCAGCAUUGCCUGACAAAUGUGGCACUGAUCUUUAGCCAGAGAACUCUCUGGAAUCAUUACAGAGAUCCUGGGGACUGCCCCGUCUGUGGGCCGCAGUUGUUGAUGGCUACCACCCUCAUGACUUCAUAGAUGACAUCAACAAUGACAUGGUGGAAUGCACAGCUCGUUAA